UACAGAGGGUGCAAGCGUUGUUCGGAAUUAUUGGGCGUAAAGCGCGUGUAGGCGGCAUGGCAAGUCGGGUGUGAAAGCCCUCAGCUCAACUGAGGAAGUGCGCCCGAAACUGCAGAGCUUGAGUACCGGAGAGGAUGGUGGAAUUCCCCAAGUAGAGGUGAAAUUCGUAGAUAUGGGGAGGAACACCGGUGGCGAAGGCGACCAUCUGGACGGAUACUGACGCUGAGACGCGAAAGCGUGGGUAGCAAACAGG
rnacentral:rRNA from 1 species